rnacentral:rRNA from 1 species
CCUGGCUCAGGAUGAACGCUAGCGGCAGGCUUAACACAUGCAAGUCGAGGGGCAUCGGGAGUAGCAAUACUGCCGGCGACCGGCGCAAGGUGCGUAACGCGUGAGCAACAUGCCCGUAUCAGGGGGAUAAUCCAUGGAAACGUGGUCUAAUACCCCAUAGUAAUUAUGUAAGGCAUCUUAUAUAAUUUAAAGCUUGGUGGAUACGGAUUGGCUCGCGUGACAUUAGCUGGAUGGUAAGGUAACGGCUUACCAUGGCUACGAUGUCUAGGGGUUCUGAGAGGAAGGUCCCCCCACACUGGAACUGAGACACGGUCCAGACUCCUACGGGAGGCAGCAGUGAGGAAUAUUGGACAAUGGAUGGAAAUCUGAUCCAGCCAUGCCGCGUGCAGGAAAGACGGCCCUAUGGGUUGUAAACUGCUUUUGUAUGGGAGCAAUAAGGGCUACGUGUAGUCCGAUGAGAGUACCAUACGAAUAAGCACCGGCUAACUCCGUGCCAGCAGCCGC